GAUGAACGCUGGCGGCGUGCCUAAUACAUGCAAGUCGAGCGAACAGACGAGGAGCUUGCUCCUCUGACGUUAGCGGCGGACGGGUGAGUAACACGUGGAUAACCUACCUAUAAGACUGGGAUAACUUCGGGAAACCGGAGCUAAUACCGGAUAAUAUAUUGAACCGCAUGGUUCAAUAGUGAAAGACGGUUUUGCGGUCACUAAUAGAUGGAUCCGCGCCGCAUUAGCUAGUUGGUAAGGUAACGGCUUACCAAGGCAACGAUGCGUAGCCGACCUGAGAGGGUGAUCGGCCACCCUGGAACUGAGACGCGGUCCAGACUCCUACGGGAGGCAGCAGUAGGGAAUCUGCCGCAAUGGGCGAAAGCCUGACGGAGCAACGCCGCGUGAGUGAUGAAGGUCUUCGGAUCGUAAAACUCUGUUAUUAGGGAAGAACAAAUGUGUAAGUAACUAUGCACGUCUUGACGGUAACUAAUCAGAAAGCCACGGCUAACUACGUG
rnacentral:rRNA from 1 species